rnacentral:rRNA from 1 species
UACGAAGGGGGCUAGCGUUGCUCGGAAUCACUGGGCGUAAAGGGUGCGUAGGCGGGUCUUUAAGUCAGGGGGUGAAAUCCUGGAGCUCAACUCCAGAACUGCCUUUGAUACUGAAGAUCUUGAGUUCGGGAGAGGUGAGUGGAACUGCGAGUGUAGAGGUGAAAUUCGUAGAUAUUCGCAAGAACACCAGUGGCGAAGGCGGCUCACUGGCCCGAUACUGACGCUGAGGCACGAAAGCGUGGGGGAGCAAACAGG